UCUCUUCUGACCCAAAGCUCUUUUUCCUUCAAGUUUCGGACGGACUAGCAAUUCAAUUAAGCUAAUUUUUUAAACCCUAAGAUUAAGUUUAUGAUUGAUUUAUACUUGAGUUAUCUGCUCUGAAUCUAUGCGUCACUCUGCUGUAUUUAAAACCCUAAGUUUUUGCUUUCAUAUAUAUCUGAAGAAGACAUAUGACAACCGCUGCUAGACCCACAUGGCAACCUGCCAAAGGUGGAAACGAAUAAGGUGAUACUCUGAUUUUUGGCCCAUCUCAGAAGUACUCGUCCAUGGACCUUGCUGCUCAUACUACUCUAAUACUCUAAAGCAUAGAAAAGAGGGGCAGGACAGACAAGAUGAUCGUUGCAGAAGAGAAACCUCCGUGCUGAGCUUGAGGAGCGUGAACGGAGACAUUUCUCAUCAAAGGACAAAUCCAAGCAUGCUACUAACUGUUCUUUGUAUAUUGCAUGAAUUUUUUUCUAUUACAAUGGUUUCCAAAGGUGACGGGUUGCGCAAAGGAGCCCAUGAUUUGAUGAUUCAUCUUGUUCAACUUUGGUCAUUUAGCCCAACAGAACUGACACAUUAUUUAGAGAGACUGAAGCUCCAUCUAUUUAGCCUAGUAAAUAUGUAAAACUUCAGUAAUUUGUAUUUAGAGGAUCUUAUAAACCCCGUAAGAAUCUCAAGUUGUACAUUGUCUUUAAUCUUAACCGGUGAUCUAUUUUAAACUAGACCGUUGGAUCAUGGUGAGCUCAAGUAUAAAUAGAAGUCUUUCCUUCAUUUAUAAUCAUCCAGUUCUAAUUCUUCACAGUAAUAGAAUACUUUAAGAGCAUUUAUUGAAACACUUGUGCGUUUAGCUUACACAAGUAUAUAGCAGACGAUAGAGAUUAUCAUAAGGAAACCAUCUUCUUUUGGAAGCUGAACUCUCAACCUACUCAUAUUAUCAAAUUAUUGGGCUACAAAAGCAUUUUACUAACUGGAUAAGUCACUCGUAGGGGCAAAGAGGGAGACUGAAGAUCGAAUUGUUCCACGCAGUAUUGAUGCCGAUGAUUCUGAUGUGGAGGUCAACAGUGAUGAAGCAAGUGAUGAUGAAGAAGCUCUAUUGGCUGAGCUUGAACGAAUAAAGAAAGAGAAAGCAGAGGAGAAACUCCGUCAGUUAAACAAAAUAUGACCCAAUGAUAAAUGUUGUGUUGUUGCUAUAUUACGCUGUAGGCUUGAAAAUCAGCACAUCCCGCUAGUGUCAUCCAAGUAAAGCCUGGUAUUCGAAAUGAGCGAGAAAUUACUUUCCUAAUUUUGUUAUAUAUCUAUACAUGGUUUAGGUGGGAUGAUGAUGUCGUCUUCAAGAACCAGGUUCGAGUUGAAACCAAGCCUCAAAAGUGCUUCAUUAAUGAUACCAUAAGGAAUGACUUUCACAGGAUAUUCCUGCUCAAAUACAUUAAGUAAUUCAUCACUUUAAUGCCAUAGCAAUUAGGGAAUGAAGUGGAUUUGAAGAUGCUGUAUUUUUUUUCUAGAAAACAUGAUGUAUUUAUCUCCUACGGCUAUGGCUGCUGUUGUAAAAAUACUAAAUGGUCAUUCAAAUGGCAAUGAUGUAUGCAUUCUUGAUUUGGUUGAGACUUAAUGAAAUACAAGCAGAGUUUUUUCAUUGA